rnacentral:pre_miRNA from 1 species
UUUGUACUCUCUCCGUCCCAAAAUUCUUGUCUUAGAUUUGUCUAAAUACGGAUGUAUCAAGUCACAUUUUAGUAUUAGAUACAUCCGUAUCUAGGCAAAUCUAAGACAAGAAUUUUGGGACGGAGGGAGUACUUU